UCAGGGGGAACCUGAGCGCGAUGCCGCGUGAGUGAAGAAGGCCUUUGGGUUGUAAAGCUCUUUCGUCGGGGAAGAAAAUGACUGUACCCGAAUAAGAAGGUCCGGCUAACUUCGUGCCAGCAGCCGCGGUAAUACGAAGGGACCUAGCGUAGUUCGGAAUUACUGGGCUUAAAGAGCACGUAGGUGGUUAAAAAAGUUGGUGGUGAAAUCCCAAGAGCUUAACUCUGGAACUGCCAUCAAAACUUUUUAGCUAGAGUAUGAUAGAGGAAAGUAGAAUUUCUAGUGUAGAGGUGAAAUUCGUAGAUAUUAGAAAGAAUACCAAUUGCGAAGGCAGCUUUCUGGAUCAUUACUGACACUGAGGUGCGAAAGCAUGGGUAGCGAAGAGGAUUAGAUACCCUCGUAGUCCAUGCUGUAAACGAUGUGUGCUAGACGUUGGAAAUUUAUUUUCAGUGUCGCAGCAGAAGCGUUAAGCACACCGCCUGGGGAGUACGACCGCAAGGUUAAAACUCAAAUGAAUUGACGGGGACCCGCACAAGCAGUGGAGCAUGUGGUUUAAUUCGAAGAUACGCGCAGAACCUUACCAACACUUGACAUGUUCGUCGCGACUUUAAGAGAUUAAAGUUUUCGGUUCGGCCGGACGAAACACAGGUGCUGCAUGGCUGUCGUCAGCUCGUGUCGUGAGAUGUUGGGUUAAGUCCCGCAACGAGCGCAACCCUUACUUUUAGUUGCCACCAUUUAGUUGAGCACUCUGAAAGAACU
rnacentral:rRNA from 1 species